rnacentral:snRNA from 1 species
UUUGGGCGCCACACACAGUAUGUGGAAUAUGAGCGCGUUAGUCAGAAUUAAUAAUGUUUUUUGUGGUGGGUGAAAAUAGACUAGAGAAUUACGUAAUACUGAACAGAAUUAAUAUAGCAUUAUAAAAAUGUGUGUGAGACG